rnacentral:rRNA from 1 species
CCUACGGGAGGCUGCAGUGGGGAAUAUUGGACAAUGGGGGCAACCUUGAUCCAGCCAUGCCGCGUGUGUGAAGAAGGCCCUCGGGUUGUAAAGCACUUUCAGUGAGGAAGAACGCCUGGUGGUUAAUACCCAUCAGGAAAGACAUCACUCACAGAAGAAGCACCGGCUAACUCCGUGCCAGCAGCCGCGGUAAUACGGAGGGUGCGAGCGUUAAUCGGAAUUACUGGGCGUAAAGCGCGCGUAGGUGGCUUGAUAAGCCGGUUGUGAAAGCCCCGGGCUCAACCUGGGAACGGCAUCCGGAACUGUCAAGCUAGAGUGCAGGAGAGGAAGGUAGAAUUCCCGGUGUAGCGGUGAAAUGCGUAGAGAUCGGGAGGAAUACCAGUGGCGAAGGCGGCCUUCUGGACUGACACUGACACUGAGGUGCGAAAGCGUGGGUAGCAAACAGGAUUAGAUACCCCAGUAGUC